rnacentral:rRNA from 1 species
UACAGAGGGCUCAAGCGUUGUUCGGAAUCACUGGGCGUAAAGGGUGCGUAGGUGGCGUGGCAAGUCAGAUGUGAAAGCCCAGGGCUCAACCCUGGAAUUGCAUCCGAUACUGCCAUGCUGGAGUACUGAAGAGGUGAGUAGAAUUCUCGGUGUAGCAGUGAAAUGCGUAGAUAUCGAGAGGAAUACCAGAGGCGAAGGCGGGUCACUGGGCAGUUACUGACGCUGAGGCACGAAGGCCAGGGGAGCAAACAGG